rnacentral:rRNA from 1 species
UACGGGGGGGGCAAGCGUUGUUCGGAAUUACUGGGCGUAAAGGGCUCGUAGGCGGCCAACUAAGUCAGACGUGAAAUCCCUCGGCUUAACCGGGGAACUGCGUCUGAUACUGGAUGGCUGGAGGUUGGGAGAGGGAUGCGGAAUUCCAGGUGUAGCGGUGAAAUGCGUAGAUAUCUGGAGGAACACCGGUGGCGAAGGCGGCAUCCUGGACCAAUACUGACGCUGAGGAGCGAAAGCCAGGGGAGCAAACGGG